CCCAUCUGUGUUUGUUUGCAACACGAGACAUCAGUCAAGGAGAGGAGGUCACCUAUAAUUAUGGUGACUCGGAUUGGCCGUGGAGAUGCAAGCUUCAGAAAUCUGAAGGAAAGUCUUCGGACGGGGAGCACGGUGAAGGUCCAUCUACAUCCGAGCCUUCUCAGAGUACUCAAAAGGUGUCAACAAGUAAGAGGCAAGAAAAGAGAUCUCCAGGUGCAUCAACUAGUCUGCUCAAAAGAUAUGAAAAGAUGAUAACAGUGAGCUGAUUGAGUCUGCUCAGAGGGACGAAACUGACCAGCUUGAGACCUCUGUGGAUGGCCUGAAUCCAACAUUCACACAACUUGGUCUCCUCAACUGGGUUGAAGAGAUGAUAACAGUGAGCUGAUUGAGUCUGCUCUGAGGGACGAAACUGACCAGCUUGAGACCUCUGUGGAUGGCCUGAAUCCAACAUUCACACAACUUGGUCUCCUCAACAGGGUUGAAGAGGUAAGCAAGUCUAAACUUAAGUUUCAUUACAUUAUGUGUGAACAAAACAUUAAAUCCUCUUCAUGUGUGCGUCUGUGUGUGUAUGUGUGUGUAGUCUCCUCAUAUGGUUUGGAUGGACAGGGUUAUAUGAGGACAAGAGACAAUCAGAAUCGACAUUCUAUAACUACUGUGUGUGUGUGUGUGUGUAACCACCUCAUAUGGUAUAUAGGGACAAUGAUAUAUGAGGACACUAGACAUUCAGAAUCAACCUUCUAUAACUACUGUGUGUGUGUAUGUGACCACCUCAUAUGGUAUAUAGGGACAAUGAUAUAUGAGGACACUAGACAUUCAGAAUCAACCUUCUAUAACUACUGUGGGUGUGUGUGUAACCACCUCAUAUGGUAUAUAGGGACAAUGAUAUAUGAGGACACGAGACAGUCAGAAUCAACCUUCUAUAACUAUUGUGUGUGUGUAUGUGACCACCUCAUAUGGUAUAUAGGGACAAUGAUAUAUGAGGACACUAGACAUUCAGAAUCAACCUUCUAUAACUACUGUGGGUGUGUGUGUAACCACCUCAUAUGGUAUAUAGGGACAAUGAUAUAUGAGGACACUAGACAGUCAGAAUUGACAUUCUAUAACUGUGAACUACUCUAAACACUAUUCUGCCUUUCAUUCAUCUCUGGAGUCAGAUGACAUUAAACAAACUCUAUGGAAUAUCUUAAACCUCCAUGAAGUUUGAUAAAUAUCUUUACCUCGGGAUCUUUUUAAAACCCUUUACAUCUGUAAUUAUAACGGUCCACCCAGUCUCUUUUGGUCUUUUUUUAAUCAAAUGUCAUAAAAUCUUUUUUUGGACCAGUGUCAAGCAUCACCUGGUGUGCACAACAAUAUCCUCCUUGGACAAGUAUGUUCAAUGUUUGGGACCUGUAUCCUCCAAGUGGCGUGUCUAUGAAUGCAGAGAUAAGAUAUUUCGUGGAUUGGUACAAAGUGCGUCUUGGGGUAUUAGGUCGGUAUAUUUGCUGUGUUCAAAUGUACAAACCAUUCUAUAAUGAAACACUUAUGACAAAUAAUCCUUAAUUCACAGCAUAGGAUGCUAUAUCAACUAUUUCCAAAAUUGUGAAGUGUAAGUAUAUCAUUGAAAUUACUUAAGUGUUUUAUUUUUGCCUUAUUGGUACUGACAAGAUCUCUUAUGGUUUAAUGCUAGAGGUUCUUUUCCAAUACACCAGCUGUUACACUUAAAAGUGUAAACAUGGGCAACAAUUAUCUCUAUAAAAGGGGACAUUUUUGCAUGUUCAUGUAUUCCAGAUCUCUGUAUUGCUCUGACAGGAACAACUGUGGUAUUUAAACUUGUACUAUAUAUUCAAAAUGUCUUCCAGUUUGUUCUGGCAUCAAUCCUCAGAAGAGUUACAAAUGAUAACCAACACCCAUCACAGUUUCUGGAGUGCAUGUCCGAUGAGGAAUGCACAC